CAGCAGCUUAGACUAUUGCCCGUUCCGGAUUGAAUACGCCUUUGGUUUAAUCUAGGAGCGUCACUUACAUAGGCUAGUCCCAAAUGUGUCUGCGAAUUUGGGACGAAAUUUAGCAGACUGGUCCUUCCAGAUUUUUGUUGCUGAUAAAUGGCAGGAUAAGAUUCCAAUCGGACGACUAAGCUUGUAGACGUCUUGCAUCACUCUAUUUCGGACGGGAGUUCGAUUCUCCCCGCCUCCACAC
rnacentral:tmRNA from 1 species